rnacentral:rRNA from 1 species
GACGUAGGUGGCGAACGUUAUCCGGAAUUAUUGGGCGUAAAGAGCUCGUAGGCGGUCUGUCGCGUCCGUUGUGAAAACUCGAGGCUCAACCUCGGGCUUGCAGUGGAUACGGGCAGACUAGAGUGCGGUAGGGGAGACUGGAAUUCCUGGUGUAGCGGUGGAAUGCGUAGAGAUCCGGAAGAACACCGGAGGCGAAGGCGGCUUGCUGGGCAUGGUCUGACGCUGAGGCGCGAAAGCGUGGGGAGCGAACAGG